AUUAGAGAUAAUUAUUAGAGACUAAUUGGAAUAAGUGAGUAGAAGCUAUCACACACACCAUGAUUUGUGGUCUACAUGUUAUUAAACAAAUGCUAAGAAAGAAUCAAAGCGGGACCCACACUUUGAUUAUGAACCACAUGACCAAAGCCAUAUCUCUUCAAUUUCAUUUUUCAUUUGCUGAAAGAGCAGCCAGGAAACAAAGACUCCCUCACCCUCUCUCACGCCUCCCACCCUCAUCUCUACCUUUCCAUUUAUUCAACAAUCAAACAUGGAAGAUUCUUGCAUGCAAUCCACUCAUUAGUUUCUUGGGUCAAUUAGAGCAAGGAACAAAGUAUUGAUUAAAACCUCAAAGAUUCAGAGGUUUGAGUAAAAGGGGUCAAAUUGGAAGUUGAGAACUUAGUGGCAAAAAUAAGAAGUUCAUGGAGAUAGAGAAGUUGGGGAAAAGCUUGAAGCUUGGAGUUUCAACACUGAAUUCAUGCAGAAAGUGUUUGGGAUUGGGCUGCACUCAAACGAAUUGUGACCAGUAGGUAUUUUUGAAGUUGGAACUCUGAUGCUGGUAUUAUGCAGAAAAAUCUGCACACGAGUUUGGAGUAGUUUCGUUGCAAAUUUCGCUUUUCGACGAGUUUCGGAAAUGUCGGUGGUACUGUUCGAGCGUCGAUUUCAGGUGGGUUCCCUUAGAAGCUCAACCUUUAUGAUUAGUUAGUACCUUAGUUGCCCAAAAUAUAUUCAUGACAAUAUUAGUUUAGAAAGAAAGUUAAGUUACUUCCCGUAAAUUAUGAUUUGCAUGAUAACAUUAGGAUUUAGGGUGAAUUAGUGUAUGAGAGGAGCUUAAUCCCAAAGUUCUUCUCCAUUUUAAUCAUUUAAUCCAUUAUGGUGUGCACAGCUAUUAGAAAGAGGGAUUGUAGGCGAAUUUAUGCAUAGUUUACACAAAACAGAAUGCUGAAUUGGUAUCCUCUCUAAGUGAGAAUAGCAGAUCAGUAUCCUGCAGAAUCUUUUAAAAUGCAUAUGCUUUCACUCUUUUUAGAUCCCUGGCUCUUUUAGAUAUUUUUUUGUGGAUCCUAUAAGUACAUUAAAUAAUUAGAAUGUUAAUUACACGUUAGGUACAUGAUAACCAGGACAAGUUAGUAUUAACCCGGGAGGGAAUUCAUGGGCAGGAUAAUAAUCAGGAUUAUUAAGUUAAGUUUAAGAAAGUCAAUCAAUUAUGGUGGUUACUUAUGGACCACGUUAUGGGAUUCGUUAGAAUCCAAUCAUGUUAUGAUUGUGAGCUUCAGCCGUGUCGAUGUACAUUAUUAUCGCAGACGGACAUGUCAGGCCUCUGAGACCGGCUCACCUCAGAGUGUCUUUGUUAUGAAUAAAACGAACAAGAUAUAUAAUUUGUGUUACACCUUUAUGUAUUAUGUUAUGAAAUUAUGUUGUGUAAAUCAUGUUUAGAGAUUGACUAUCAGGAUCAGAGAACUAUUAGUUCGUCAGUUGCCCCGGUGUAGACACCAAUAGUAAUUGGGUAGUAGGAAUCCACUGAGACGAAGUGACUGUCUCAUCCCCCACUUAUUUGAUUUCAGAUAAACAGGUUGAUCAAGAUAUCAUGGUCUACAAGCAUGGAGUUCAGAUACUUGGAUUAUGCUAGUUGAGCUGACGUCAUGUUAUCUUAUAUUUGUAUAAGAUUUAGUUUCUUUAUGUUUUCAGUUGUUAGCUCAAUUUAGUAUUAAUCUCUUGGAUUUUGUAAUCCUAUUUAUGUAUUCGGACAAUAUGUAAUGAAAAUUUAAUGUUUCCCGAUUCAAUUAUGUACACUCUUAUCGAUAUUCUAGAUAAAUUGACAUGGGGUGUUAUAAUUGGUAUCAGAGCAGGUCGAUUCAGUAUCAGACCUUGCCGCGGAUCAUUAAAAUUCAAUCCAAAGUAGUACGGACCCUUUGGAGUCUAGACUGUUUACGCUGAAAUCAUCGCGUGCUGAGCCCGAUCAACUCAGUAUCGUGUAUGGUAGGCAGGGUAUUACGGUUGAGAACCGAAGUGGACCAAGGAGGUCAAGUAGUAAGAAAGAAGUAGAAGCGCAUACUCAGAUGGAAGUAUGAACGGAGACCGUUGGAAGUGGAUAUCGGAACUGCAGCAGUCGACGCCACAAGAAUAAGUUGAGUAACGCCAACAAGUGGCAAGCAGAAUUGAGAAUAGUACAUGGCGUAAUACCAGUAGUAAUAGGCAUAUCAAGACAUGCACGAACCGGACGCACUCAACUGACGGUAGCAGGUUUAAAGAUAUGGGGAAUUAUGGAAACCCGGUAUGAAAGUAAGUUUUGACCGGAGUGGAACCGAGACCGAGUAUUGAAGUACAAAAAUAUUGGAAAAUUGUUGUAAGUCUGAUGGGCGCAUAAAUACAUAUGAUGGAAUUAUGAGAACAUUACAUGCCCCGACAAGAUAAGUUCAGCCUUUCAGUUCGUAACUAGUAUCCUAGUCAGACCCGUAUCAGCCAAGUUUUGUUUGAGUAAUGACUGGAAUUAAUUCUAAUACUAUCAGUUACCUAAGUCGGCCUAUUAAGUGUCAUUAUCAUUGAUUCAAGAACGAGUAAUGCAGUUUUGUACUAGCAUCAAGAAGUCGCCGAAAAAUUUUCCGUAUUCAAACCUCUCAACUAAUAACCCAACAUACUCGGUUAAACCUUUUGUGAGAAAUUAUCAGCUGAGUCAUAAUGAGAAUCAAGUCUGUUCCAGUUCCAGAGAUUAGUCAGUUAAGAGAAAUCAUGAAGUAUGAACGUACUGCAAUAGAAUUAUGAUCUUCAGUUAGCUACCCUUUCACCUGAACUUUAAUUCAGCUAAAUUUAUCGAAUCGAUGCGAUGCAUGAUCCAUAAGCAAUAAACCUUAUUAAGUUAUGAACAUUAAGUUCCCCGAGCCUAUCUAAUCAUGAUAAGAGAUAAAUUAUUUUGGUGUUUGGAACCUAUCAAUUACAUUUAGUAUAAUAAUUCAAUUAAUUUGCGAACCUUUAUAAUUCCUUAAUAUCAGUGAAUUGGAUUCACGGAUAGAGUGUUAUCCUUAUGUAAAUCUGACGAAAUGUCUUAAGCUUUCCAACUUUGUUGUUAGUAAUCAGUUCGGAUUCAGGUAAGUUUGUUAAGAGUAAUGUGUUAUGUUCCUUUUAGAAUUAUCAGCUAUUCUAGUUGACCUGUAAGUUAACAUCCUGCAGUGGUCUAAAGUUGAGUGAACCUAUCUAGUAUGUCUUGUUAGCCUAUGAAAUUAAACAACAUCGUAAGACAUCUCGCACGUUUGAGACGUUAAUUCAACCAAUUCAGUUUAUCUUUCUUUUAAGGCCUUAUCAAAUUCGUUUCAGAUAAAAUCCAAAACCAUCCAGAGACAUAAGAAGUGAUAUUAAGAUUAGUAUUAAUGAUACAAACCCUUUAGUUCCAUUCGCAGUAACUAGGAUUAGACCAACGUAAGUUCACAAAUGAUUAGCCGAGGACAAUCAAUAAUCUUUUGAACUCUAUCAACUAUCCUUGUGACUGAUUAGUUAACAUCAUCAAGCAACUCAGAGUUUGGAAACUUAAUUAGUAGUAGUAUCACCAUCUGUAACCCAAGACAAUUGUGUUUGACCUUUCCUUAACAAUCAGUUUAUUUCAGUCCAGUCUCUACUGCAAAACCGCAUCCGACAAUUAUGUCAAAACCCAAACCUUACCUUGAUGGUGUUAAGAAAUUGUAUCAGAAGGGAUAGUAUUAAGAGAUGCCGAUGAGAUUAACAGAAUCAUAAGCUAUUUCACAAGGAAAUUUUUUGAAUAGUCGGUAUGAAAAUUCAAAACUUGAACCCUUAAGAUAACUUGUUCACAUCAGCCAGUGUCUUAUGUUUUGUGUGUACCCCAACCAGGCCAAAUACCGACCCAAUGAAAGUUUUUUUAAGUAAUAGAGUAAUUGGCAGGAGCAAUAAGGGAAGUAAAUACUAGAGAGGACUGAAUGUAGCUGAGGUCGGUGAAGUGAUAAGAAGUGAAGUGUUGCAGACACGUUAGAUGGCGGUAAAGUAUUAUGUAUAUGAUGGUGUGCCUAACGUCACUAAGCGAUGCAAGUGCUACUUGUGAUGUCUACGGUACGAGAAGUAUUAAUAGAAGAAAUAACAUCGGAUAAGAUGAGAUGAUGUGAAACAGUGUCUAAGAAGUUACAACUAAGAAUGUAAUGAUGUGUAUAGAGAAUGACAGUAAGUAGUCGAAUCAGAGUGCGUAGCCGGGGAGUGGUUGAGAAUGUAGUCGGCAGAUUGACUUGUAGGUCAACAACUCUUUGAGAGAGGAAAUCCCUAUUCGAAGGAAUUGAAAGUGGGGAACCAUAAAAUGAUUAAAGAUCGUAUAACGAGUAAGUUACGCAAAUAUUCAUGUUUGGACCUGAUAUUGUUAGUAUAGAAUACCCUUGAGAGCAAAGAUUGUGAAGGUAAAACGGUUCACUUGAGAAGUUUGACGCGGUGAACUAGUUAGAUUAAGUAUGCUCCGGCAUUGAAUUGAAAAGUGCAAAAGAAGGAAGGUUGCGCUGUGAGCGUUAAAGUUGAGGAAAAGUAACAGAGGCAGCUAAUAUAAGAUGAGUGUGUACCUAAAAGUUGCAUUAUGGGCUAAGAUUAUGAGUUCAACGUCAUGGAAUAAACGAGUAGAAUUUCCGAAAGUAUCAUAAGUGAACGCCAACGCAGUGAAGAAGUUCUUGAAUUUCGCGGACGAAAUUCUUUUAAGGGGGAUAGAUUGUAACAUCCCAACUUUAAUUAAUAGUAGAAUAUUAAUUAGAGAUAAUUAUUAGAGACUAAUUGGAAUAAGUGAGUAGAAGCUAUCACACACACCAUGAUUUGUGGUCUACAUGUUAUUAAACAAAUGCUAAGAAAGAAUCAAAGCGGGACCCACACUUUGAUUAUGAACCACAUGACCAAAGCCAUAUCUCUUCAAUUUCAUUUUUCAUUUGCUGAAAGAGCAGCCAGGAAACAAAGACUCCCUCACCCUCUCUCACGCCUCCCACCCUCAUCUCUACCUUUCCAUUUAUUCAACAAUCAAACAUGGAAGAUUCUUGCAUGCAAUCCACUCAUUAGUUUCUUGGGUCAAUUAGAGCAAGGAACAAAGUAUUGAUUAAAACCUCAAAGAUUCAGAGGUUUGAGUAAAAGGGGUCAAAUUGGAAGUUGAGAACUUAGUGGCAAAAAUAAGAAGUUCAUGGAGAUAGAGAAGUUGGGGAAAAGCUUGAAGCUUGGAGUUUCAACACUGAAUUCAUGCAGAAAGUGUUUGGGAUUGGGCUGCACUCAAACGAAUUGUGACCAGUAGGUAUUUUUGAAGUUGGAACUCUGAUGCUGGUAUUAUGCAGAAAAAUCUGCACACGAGUUUGGAGUAGUUUCGUUGCAAAUUUCGCUUUUCGACGAGUUUCGGAAAUGUCGGUGGUACUGUUCGAGCGUCGAUUUCAGCUUGUGCCAGCUUUGAAUUGCGCUUUGGAUUUCCCUGAAGUUUUGUUUCGCAUGAGGCAUGACGCAUGUGGUCUUUAGUAUGGAUAUUAUGGAGGAGCAGAUUGCUACAUGAUGAUUUUUGUUGCAAGAACAAGGUGACUUAUUCAAACAAAGUUGCUAAUAAAUAUGAAAAUAGCAGUCCAGCUCCAUAUGACUCUUGCUUCCAAUGUGAAAAAAGAAAUACAAAGAAUAGCAUGUCAACAUAUGCUGUGAAGUUUGUAUAUGCUAGGAGGAAUGAAUGAAAUCUCUAUCUGUUGGAAUAGGAUGCAUGUAUUUAAGUGGUUGAACAAGUAGUCUCCUUGGACUUGCGGUUCAAUUGUUACCACUCUUUUGUGAAUAAUAUCUGUGGAGAAUGGUGCUAUUUCUCUUUUGAUUGUGUGGCUAUAGUUUUUUAUUGGUAUUUUUGGGUUUGGUUCAGAUGAAAAUGUUAAUGGAGUCAUGUUAUUAAAGUUGUUUGAAGAGGAUGACAUUGUUGAAAAUGAAGUUGAUGCAGAGGAAAAUAGUGGGUGUUUUGUUUUUUUCAAGACUGUGGUGUUUAUGAGAUAUCGGUUUCAUGUCCUAUCUAUGGAAUUUAUAGCCAUUCUCUUGAGUGUAUUUGGUAGACA